GUGAUCAGAUUAAUUACUUAUAGCACUAGUUAUAUUAGGCUAACCCAAAAAGCUAGUGGCAGUCUGGCAGACGGUGUUAGCGAGGGACUGGUCACUGGUGGGCGUUGCUUCCUUGUGACACCAGUGAUGGCGCUCGUCUGGAAGACAACAACACGAUGCUGGGGGAUAGAGAAGAAACCCUUGGUCGCAAGGCCAACCAACAGCCACCCGCUGCAAGGGGUGAGGGACAGAUCCUUAAGGGACAAUGAACCUUCCCGAGAUAAGAAAACCAAGCCACUUAUUCAGUCCAUGGUGAUGGAUCCCCUGUCAGCUGUUCUGGAUGAUGGACCAGAUCCUUUAAGUGACCUCCUAGCCUCCCCAGAUCCCUUAUCAGUACAGACAGCCUCUCACAAGGCCCUGAAGGAUAGCCAGGAGGAGGAGAACAGCGUCCCCAGUAGCUGGCACACCAACUGGACCCGGACCCAGAAUCACAUUCUGACCAAUUUCACCACCACCAGCACUCUCACCUUCAUGUCCAGCUUUCUUCACCCAGCAGACACAGCUGAGAGCAGAGCUGUCCCAUCCCACAGACGUGUGGUGAAGGCUCAGACAGCAGUUCCAGAGAGGCAUCGAGCACAAGGCAUGAGUGGCAGUGAGCGUAUCCGUGCACGGCUGGAGCAGAUGGACACCCUGGAUGAGAUGAGUGGUGGGGUGGUGCGUGAGGUGGGCGGCCUCACUCAGAGUGAGUUCACUCAUCGCCUCAACACCCUGAAGCAAGAAAUGAUUCAAGCCUGGAACUCUGACCAACGUGUGAAAGCUCUCAAAAUUGCCAUUCAGUGUGUGAAGUUGCUGAACCUUUCAGCGCCAGAGCAUUUCUACCCAAGUAAGUUUGUCUUGGUGAUGGACAUACUAAGCACACUGGCCAACUUAGUGUAUGUACGCCUCAAGCAGAAGUCACAGAAUGAAGGCUCACCUGCCAACAGUGCCAGUGCUGCCAAGUUGGAGGCACAGGAGACAGCUCGUAAUUGGUUCUACAAAGUGGCUUCCAUAAGGGAACUUCUCCCAAGAAUAUACUUGGAAGCUUCCCUCCUUCCAUGUUAUUCACUUAUUGACAAAAGAGAGGGGGAGGAGGCUCUUAUACGCCUUGCCCGCAUGACCCGUGGCAUUGGUGAUCCACUGAUAGCUGCCUACACACGCAUGUUUGUGUGCCGCAUGGGUGUGGACAUGGCCCCCUCCCUCACGCAGUACAUUGUGGACAGCAUUGAAGACUUUCUGCACACCCUCACACAGCUGGAAGGCACUUGGCCAGAAGGAGAAACUGACAUGAACAUGGGUGAGGAUAAGGAUGCUUUGGCAGCACGAGUGUUUGCUCCUCCGCUACAGUGGAUGAUGCAGUGCCUGGCUGGGAGAGCUCCACACCAGCAACUACAGGAUGUUGUGCGGAUGUGUGAGACUGCUGAGGGUUUGGGCCAGAAUCUGAUGGUGGCUGCCAUCCUCAACACAUUCCCUCAUGACUUCAUGGCUCUCCAUUCCCUUCUCCUCACACAACUCGUAGCUGCUUGCCCCUUUUCAGGUAAAAGUAAGCAUGAACUAGUUUCUGCCCUGGGAAGGUCCGUAAAUAAGGUUGCUCCAGCCCAGGCACAGCAAUUGUCUCUCCUGAAUGGUGUCUGGAAACUCAUCACUCACAUUCCACACAUUAAUGAUUAUCUCUCAGCUGCUGGUGUCUGGCUCGAGUACACUGCAAAGCAUUUUUCUUCUAUUGAGGUGAACACCCUACUUGGAGAUGUUCUCAAGCAUGUUGGAGCAGAGCGAACCCAGGAGCAGAUGCAUUACUCUGCCUUGCUCACACUGGUGUCCACAGCGCUCACCAACUCAACAGACCCCCAUUCACUCUUCUCUAUGACCAACUUCCUUGGCCUGCUGAGUGUGUUCCAGCGUGAUAGUGUGAGUACUGGGGAUGGAGUAACUCGUGGAGUGGUGGAGGCCCUGCUGAGCCAUCACCCUGGGCACAUCACCGACCCAGCACUAGUUCAGCACCUCCUCACUUUCUGUGGUGCCCUGCAUGACUCCAUAAAUGCCUUGACAACAGAUGAUGAAAGGAGGCAGUUGUCUCAGCUGAUCAUUUCUUUCAUUCGACAAGUUAAUUUUGGAAGAGACUUUGAACAGCAGCUUGAUUUCUAUGUUAAUGCCAGAGCAGCCUUCUCAAACCUCGACUCUGUCCUGGCUGCCCUCAUUCAGUGUGUGUGCCAGCUUGCUGUGGCCACAUGGCAAGUGGUUCACGGCCAGCACUCAGGCAAGACAGCAGCAUUUGUGCGUGCAUGUGCUGCCUAUUGCUUCAUCACAGUGCCCUCACUCACCUCUGCUGCCACUCGCCUCAGACUUUACCUCCUCUCAGGGAAUGUUGCCCUCAUGAACAACUGCCUGGGACAAGGAGAUGCAUGCAUGAAAGCAGCCAUCAGGGAAUUACUAGAAGUAGCCUGUUCACAAGACUCAGAAGUGGGAGGAAGUGUAUCUGAUGUUCUCCGCACUCUGGUAGCCAACUUGGCCUCAACUCUGAUUGCCACGCCAGACCCACCAGAUGCCUCACCACCCUUGUACUUGCUUCGAGGACUCACAAAUGCUGUCCGCUCAUUUCAGUGGCCGAAAGAAACAGAUACUCAAGCCUUCCUGUCAAUUUUAUUGUUACAUGCACUCUCGGCAGCAUCUCAAGAUGAGCUGCCGUAUCAUAUCCGCUCUGUUGAAGGCAACGACUCCUUGUAUGGGGGGGAUUCACGGGUCCAGCAGGAAGGAAAUGCGCUGUCAACAUUGCUGCUGCAAGAUGUUGUGACUCACUUGCAGGGCCUUGGCGGGGUGCAUGAGAAGCGCUGUGGACCUGUGGCCCUGGAACUGUUUUGGUGUAUAGUGACCUGGGGUGACCUGACUGAUCCUCACAUGAUGAAUGUUGCUGCACUCAUGUGGUCCUAUGUGACAAAGUACACACCCUCUCAGACUGUGAGAUCUGCAUGCCUAGGCUGUACAAGUAAAUGUUAAUGCCCAAUAAUUAAUUGGCACCACCGAGCCACCAUCCCUACUGGAACGUUUACUGCAAAGUAGGUCACCAGACAUUUCACAACCACUGUUUAACAUAAAGACGUGUGUAGCCUUACAGUAUUUCCUUGGGUUGACUUGAAUAAUCAUACCCUGCAAUAUACCUAAAUUUGUAGGACACUUUGUACAUAUGAGCAUGGAAAAUACGAAGAGCAUGAUACAUAUACAAGCAACACCACAAAGAUAAUGUAAUUAGAUCAGAAUCAGUUAAGUGGAGGCUUGGGAGCCUAGCUAACUAUGGAUUGUUUUUGCCAUGUCAACCUCAGCAAAUUCCUUUCAGCUGUCACCACUCUCAACAACAGCAACAACCUUAGCUCGCCUAAACAACGGUGUUGUUAUACAGAGCAUGUGUUUCAAUACCUACAUUCUUCUCAUUUCUGUCUACAUGUUCCUACGUACAUUAGUGCCUUACAUUCAGAGACCUGAGCAAUUGAGAUGCUUGCACUUCAUGUCCUCGUGGAACACUAUGUAAGUUUCGACAGGGGCUGCUGCUCACAGACUAUGUCGAUCCCAAGUAGACUUUUGACUAAGUGCACCAUGAGGCACUCUGGGAUAUUCUUCAGAUCCAUGGGAUUCCUGCAAGAAUUACUGACUUGACUGGCCUUUACUCUGGGACUGAGAGUGCUGUGAAGUGUGGGGGAAGCAUUUCUGAGUUUUCCCUUUUAAUUCAGGAGUGAGGCUGGGGUGCCACCUUGCUUUAUCACUUUUCAGCACUUGCAUGGACUGGGUAGUAGGCAAAGUUGUUGAUCUAAGUUGGUGCAGAGCAUCUGUCACCAACAUCAAGGUUACUUUUCACAGAAUCGCUGGAGGUCCUGGUGAUGGAUUUCGAAGUGCUGCAUGAAGAUGCGAUGCCUCUGUGACUGAAGGUCUCCUCAGUCAAAACAAAGGUCCAGUCGUUUAGAGACACUGGAUUACACAGUUUAGUCUGUUCAUGUAUGGCAGCAUAGUACAUAACAAUAGUGGGCAUUGCCAAGAAGUCACUUACCAGAUUGACCUGGGCCACAGUGUUAUGAAUUCACUUGGCACAAGUAUAUGACAUUGUCGAUAUCUAUGCAGGCAGAAAAAAAUUGUGCUCCCUGUUGUACUCUAUGUCUGUGAGACAUGGACACUGAAUAGUGACUUGGAGAGGCAUAUUGGUGCCUUUGGUACCAAGUGCCCCUUAAAAUCAUCAUUCAGUGUCCAUGUCUCACACCAGAGUUAAAUCGUGAGCACAAGCAACUUGAGGAUGCAGAUCUUUCUCUUUCCACACAAGUCCAUAACACUGUGGGCAUAUCCAAUCCGCCAUAAGCCUUCCUGAUGAGACCUACCAUUAUUUUGAACUACGUUACCAGUGUAUGUACAAUUUUCCAAGAUAUCACUGUCCUCGCCACACACAUGAAUACACUGUACUGUUUCAUCUGGCAGGCCUUCAAACACCUGUCCCUUGGUCUUGGCCCAAGAAAUCUUAAGACCUAAGGGUUUUGCCUCCUCAUGCAGUGCCUUGAGAGCCAUCACUAUAAUCUCCAGUGACUCAACAAGGACUACCUCAUCAUGAGCAGAAACAAAGUCAGUGGCCCUGGUAUUGCCAACAGAUGCUCCACAAUGACUCUGGUCUACAACUCUGCCUAGUACCCAGUUGAAAAGUGAUGGGGCAAGGACACAGCCCUGCCUCACUCCUGCAUUCACAGGAAAGAAGCUGGACACCCCCUUCCCCACCCCCACAUCAAUCUUUUAUGGGGCUUGAAAUGGAAAAGGUAACUCGGGGGGGAUGGUCGGGGGAGGUGGUGAGGCAAGCGACACGGCGCCUGACAUAUGUUCCCUGUUAGUUAAUUAGUUGUUUAAUUAGGCCAUAUUAGGUUAAAUUACUUAAAAUUGUUCUUCUACAUCCUAUGGUUGGCUCAUGCACCUGUAUAUUAUUAUCUGCUGGUUUACUAAGAAAAUAGUAAUACUAAAUACUUGUUGUAAUUAUGAAUUAUUGCUGACUGGCCUGUAUUCUGGGACCGAGAGUGCUGUGAAGUGUGGGGGUAGCUUGUCCCGCUUCUUUCCCAUGAAUGCAGGAAUGAGGCAGGGCUGUGUCCUUGCCCCAUUACUUUUCAAUACUUGUAUGGACUGGGUACUAGGCAGAGUUGUGGAGCAUCCAUUGGCAAUACCAGGGUCAAUGACCUUGUUUUUGCUAUGAUUUUAGUGAUGAGUCUCAAGGCACUGCAUGAGGAGGUAAAGCCCUUGGAACUCCAGGUCUCCUGGGCCAAGACCAAGGUGCAGGUGUUUGGAAGCUUGCUAGAUGAAACAGUACAUGCGUGUGGCAAGGACAUUGAGAUCUCAGAAAAUUUCACACCUUGGUAGCAUAGUUCAUAACAACGGUGAGUCUCGCCAGGAAGUCUUACGGUGGAUUGGCUUGGCCCAGAGUGUUAUGUACUCACUCAGCACAAGUAUAUGGCAAUGUCGAUACCUGUGCAGAAGGACAAAGAUCCAGAUCUUCAAGUCCCUUGUGCACCUUGUCUUACUCAUUGGCUGUGAGACAUGGACACUAAAUGGGGACUUGGAGAGGCAGAUUGAUGCCUGUGGUAAUAAGUGUCUACGCAGAAACAUUGGAUAUCGCUGGAAUGACUUUGUGUCAAACUGGUGACUACUUCGUGAGACUGAUUCGACAUAUAUCGCCUGCAUAGUCCAUCAACACAAACUCCAACUAUAUGGGCACGUGGCACAUUACCCAGAAGCUGAUCCUACUCAUCAAGUUGUCUCUGUAAGAGACAAUCCUGAGUGGAGGAGGCCAAGGGGACACCCACAGAGUUCGUGGCUUGAACAAGCCGAGAGAUCCUGCCACGAGGUACUCUGGAAGGGAAGGGGGCCUGCAUUGAGACUUGCCCGGAGGGACCCCCAGACUUUGCGUUGUAAGGUGGGCUAGGGGAUGUGCCCCCUGGCAUAUCCCCCCAUUGAUUUAUUAACUAAUAUAAUUAUGAAAAGAAAAAUUUAAUUUGACAUGGAUUUAAAACAUUCUUGAUAAUUGUCUGUGGCAGUGGCAGAGAUCUUUUCACAGGUGACUUUUUUGGAGGGUGGAGGUGAGGGGGGAACCUGGUGGCAGCCAAGCCAGUGGCACAAGCGAAUUUCAUUUGAAGUAGCUACUGUGAUAUAUGACUUGUUUGUCUCAUGCUGCUGUGGUGCUUCUCUUGACGCUGAAUAUAGGAUUGAAGAUGAAGAUCUGGAAAGCAUGUGGGUAAUCUUCUGCCACUCUUAACUAACUAACAGGGAGCAUAUGCCAGGGGCAUGUUGGUUCAUGCACCAGUAUCACUCACUAGUGUGGUUGCGAAGAUAUGCGAGAGGCUGGUUAAAAAUAGGUGGUCGGAUUUCUUAGAAAGUGAGAAAAUUAUCUCAGAUUGACAGUUUGGAUUCAGGAGAGGGAGAUCUUGCGUCACCAACUUGUGUUAUUACUCAAGGGUGACAGAUUUAAUACAAGAGAGAGAAGGCUGGGCGGAUGGAGUGUACCUGGAUUUGAAAAAGGCAUUCAACAAAGUACCGCACAGAAGACUAAUUUGGAAAAUUAAAAAUAGGGGUGGAGUGGGUGAUGGACUGAUUAAGUGGCUGGAGGACUUCCUAACUUUGAAAAAGGCAUUCAACAAAGUACCGCACAGAAGACUAAUUUGGAAAAUUAAAAAUAGGGGUGGAGUGGGUGAUAGACUGAUUAAGUGGCUGGAGGACUUCCUAACUAACAGAGAAAUGAGGACGAAAAUCAAGGACAGGGUUUCCAAUUGGUGCCCUGUGAUGAGUGGAGUCCCGCAAGGUUCGGUGUUGGCACCAAUAAUGUUUGCUGUUUAUAUAAAUGAUAUGGUGGAUGGAGGGUCCAGAUAUGUAAGUUUGUUUGCAGAUGAUGCAAAGUUAUUGUGAUGAGUGAAUAAUGUGAAGGACUGUGAGUAGGUGGAAGGACGCUUGGGUGCCAUAGGAGAGGUCAAAAUGCAGUGUACGUAUUCCAGAGAAACAUUCCACUCACAGUGCCGGCUAGCUUCAGACUGAGGAGAUAAACAGCGUCUCUGCGCGGUGACGUCAUCAAGCGUCAUGUCAUCGAGGAAACUCGUGUAAAAUCGAACAUAUCACAAACAAGUAAGAGAGUUGGUGAUGCAGCAGUCUCCACAUGCUAAAAGUGGCCUCCCACAACUGAUCCAGCACUGCAAAGGAUAGCGCACCAAUCACCAUAGUUUUCAUUGCUCAACUGACUCCUCAGAAUCCAUCACUAUUUACAAUGAUCUGCUGUGAUAAUUGUUACUAAUUUUAUAUUUUGUCAAGUGUGUAUGGGUCAUGGUAUGUGUAUAUACAGUUGCGUUGCGGGGUCCCGUCUCGGUCUCAGUUAAUAAAAUUUAUAUCUAAAUUAU